rnacentral:lncRNA from 1 species
GGAAGCACACUGCGGCGAUUCUGGAGAGGUUGUCCUUUUCUGGCAUCAGCGUUGCGGCUCGAGGCAAAGCUGGUCCUGUGCCUGCUGUCCAUUGCCGCUAAGGCCUGCUGCUGCCAUUCAGGCGUGUCUCUCUCUCUCUCUCUCUUUCAUGCCGCUCUCUCCACCCCAUCUUGGGACGGCCAGCUCUAAGAAUUCCUGCUACGACACUGAAUUCAACCAGGAGUCAGCAUGAAUACCAGCACAGCCCAACUAUGUGUAAGCAGAUCUGUGCAGGAAUGAGAGUCCCAGGGAGAGAAUCCACGUUGUUUCUGAAAGAAAAUGGCUAUAGCUCACUGUUGUUUACUGGAAAUAGUAGGGGGAAGGAAAGAUGGAAGUCCAGGUCCAGUGUCAUAUACUGCCCUGCACCUUACUCACUUCUCUGCCUUUAGGGUGAUGCCACACUCAAUCAGAAACUAUGCUACUGCUGAAGAGGUAUAUUGAGCCCUGCCUGGUUAACCUCCAGUGAGGUUAUUAGAGAAUUGGGAGAGGCUCAAAUCAGCAUCCUGCACCUAGUUAUCAAACCAUUGUGAAGUCUUGAUUCCUGGAUGGCCAGAAAACUUGUCAUUGGUCAAGAGCAACAUUAAGAUCUGCCUGUUACUCAUACUGAUGCUUCCUGCCCAGCAAGUUCAUCAGAGGGCGAGGAUGAAUUACGGUUGCCAUGAAUGUCCUUGUGAGGCAGUUGGGAAGCCUUGGCUGGAUUGUGAAGGAUAUUUGAAAAGUAUUUUAGAGUCCACCAGAUCAUCCAUGUGAGUGACCAUGCAGCAAAAGAAGGAGGGUCCUCUCAGUGAUUAAGGAUUAUGAAGUAUUAAUUCUUCCACUGAUAUCUCAAAAGGUGAUCUGGACAAAGGAACAGGUAUCUCAGAGACAGGGUUUUACCAUGUUGCCCAGGCUAGAUUUGAACUCCUGGGCUCAAGUGAUCCUCUCGACCCAGCCUCCUGAGUAUCUGUGACUGCAGGCAAGUACCCCUGUGCCUGCUCACUUAUUUAAAGUUCUACACAUCAAAUACUAAAUUCUCAUCUAUUUGACUUCUGGACUCACUGGUUGGUGUCAUUGACUGUCUUUUCCUGUGAUAGCAUAGAAUUAUUUUGAUUGUGGAAGUACUAUAAAUGUUGCUAUUUAUUGUGCCUCUUGCUGCCUAUCUAUAUUUAGACUCAUUUAUGUGAUGCCAUUCUGUAUACUCUAAAUUUUUUGGUUCUAUUUUAAUAAUGUUUGAGUCAAUGACUUUUCAUGACUCUUGACUUCCCUACUUCAACAGUUUACUAGUCUCCAUCUUGAAUGUUUUUAUUAAUCUAUUUUGUGUUAAUUCUACCCAGGUUUUUUGUUUUUCCUUGCUACUAUUAUAUAUAUUUCUGCCAGAUGUCACAUGGUAUAAAUGCCUAUAUGGACUUUUGUAACAGAAAAUUUACUUACUAGAAUUAAUGUAGGGGGCUUUUUAAUAAGAGUGCAUGUAACAUAGUAACAGUAGCAGAGCUAUAUCAGAAACAGUUCUGAUAAUAUUUCAUGAUCUAUAGUUUGUUGCAUGCCCAUUGCUUCAUACUGCUUGUGUUCUUGGUUGAGUCAUAAGUAAUUUUUAUGGGGUGUGUCAUGACUGUCAUAUUCAUAGAGAGUUGUCUGCCUUGCCCCAUGGUCUUUGCAUGGCUUAAACAGGACCCCUUUUCAUACACAAGUCAUUCAAUUUUAUGUUUUUAAUAGCAUCAAUUUUAGUGUUUAACAUGUGUCUCUGGACUAUGCAUCAGAAUACUUGACUGUUAGUGUGAAAUGAAAAUUCAUGGAUAUCAUAAUUUAUGUAACAUAAUUUAACAUUUCUUUAUUAAUAAGACUUUAGAUUGUCCCUUUCACAAAAAAAUGGUGCGGUUAAAACUUAAUCCUUGUGUCUUUUUGUGAGUAGUUCUAUGAUUUCUAUAUGAUGGCAUCCUUGAAAAAGUUGGUAAAAAUAAGAAUAGUUCUUAUUUAUUAAAGUUCUUCUCAAAUUGCUCUUCCAAAACAUUUUAGUUUAUACUGCAAUGUUAACCAUUUUACACUUGCUUAAGUAAUUUUCUUCAAAUACACACGAGUCCAGGCUAUUUAACCUUAUUUUACCGCUAUAGCACAAAACAGGUUUUCCAAAAUUGUCCUUGCACACCUGGGAUUUUACAAGGAUAUUAUAAUCUUGGUUCAGUUUGACUUACUGAAUUUGUAGUAAGUAUAUUUUAGCACAUAGAAAAUUCAAAAUAUGUGUUAAUCUGUUUAUAGGGUAAAUUUUUAUGAGGGUGG